CGAGAAGGUGACAGCGAUAAGACGUGGUACAUAUGUACAGUGAGACAAAACGAUGAGCGCAUCUGCAUCGAAGGUGAAGCCCUCAGAGUCGGUAGUUUGUAUCUGCGUCCUUUUUGUGCAAUACAUCCUGUAUCCAACUAAUGCAGAGUAUAUUCAAGUUGCAAACACACUGGUUGUGAAGUACCCUUUCCAGAGAAAUAUAAAAGGAAAUGACUGUGAAACUUGUGUUGAGGAGGAUUCAGUGUCUGUUGAGGCCCAUGUGAAUGUGCUACAAAGUGAGUAUCAGAAAACACACCUUGACUGUCAAAGACCACACAGCAGGAACAUUCUCCCGGAGACGUGGAAAAAGCACGGAAGGAAUGUCUGUGGAGGAUGUACUCAAACACACCCAUACUUAAGGACACCUGCUGGAGGGACCCUGCUUAACUCUUUCCUACCAUACAGCUGAUGGAUACUGACUGUAAAAUGGUAAUCAUAGGAGGAGGGCUCAGUGUGGUGACAGAAGAUGGAAUAGACGUGUGCCAGUGCACCAGCCUUGAUCAAGCCUUCAUACCAGCCUUCUGGAUGUAUUUUGCUUUCAAAAUUGCAUAUCCAACACACCUGAGAAAGACAAUGACUUUCCUUCAGAGGCACAUUGUCAACAUUAGAAGAUGGAGACAACACUGCCAGUAACUUUACUCUGAAUGAUUAGUCUUUUGUAUUAGAUCCUCAUGCCUCAACUCUACCAUUGCCCAAAGUGCACUCGAAGGACAUUCACUCUUUUGAAGUUAAUCCAACAUGUUGGAGUUGUACAUGCACAUUAACCAAAAAUUAGUAUAACCUGUGGUAUAGAUGAGUGCCAGUCAACUUUUCUUGUGAUUCCAUUCUUUUAGAAAACAUGCACAGGAAGCAUAUGUACUUCAUUUUUGGUCCUUUUGGUAACAAAAAUGACUGUCUCAGUGCAGAGUCAGCAAUACACUUGUAUUAUAAUAUAAUAGAGCGGGGUCAGGCUGCAGACUUGCACUCUCAGACACUUGUGCUUCCGCUAGUGACAAC
ensembl:lncRNA